CCUACGGGUGGCAGCAGUGAGGAAUCUUGGACAAUGGGCGAGAGCCUGAACCAGCGAAGUCGCGUGAAGGAUGACGGCUCUACGGGUUGUAAACUUCUUUCGUCAGGGAGCAAUUGAGUAAAAGUGUGGUCUUAGCGAGAGUACCUGCAGAAAAAGCAUCGGCUAACUCCGUGCUAGAAGCCGCGGUAACACGGGGGAUGAGAGCGUUAUCCGGAUUUAUUGGGGUAAGAGGGUGCGUUGGCGGAAUAUCAAGUCAGCGGUAAAAGUUCGGGGCUCAACCCCGUAGUGCCGUUGAAACUGAUGUACUUGAGUGAGCGAGGAGUAUGCGGAAUGUGUGGUGUAGCAGUGAAAUGCAUAGAUAUCGCGCAGAACUCCGGUGGCGAAGGCAGGUUACCGGCGCCCAACUGACGCUGAAGCACGAAGGCGUGGGUAUCGAACGGGAUUAGAUACCCCAGUAGUC
rnacentral:rRNA from 1 species